rnacentral:rRNA from 1 species
GACGAACGCUGGCGGCGUGCCUAAUACAUGCAAGUAGAACGCUGAAGGAGGAGCUUGCUUCUCUGGAUGAGUUGCGAACGGGUGAGUAACGCGUAGGUAACCUGCCUGGUAGCGGGGGAUAACUAUUGGAAACGAUAGCUAAUACCGCAUAAUAGUAGAUGUUGCAUGACAUUUACUUAAAAGGUGCAAUUGCAUCACUACCAGAUGGACCUGCGUUGUAUUAGCUAGUUGGUGGGGUAACGGCUCACCAAGGCGACGAUACAUAGCCGACCUGAGAGGGUGAUCGGCCACACUGGGAGGGAGACACGGCCCAGACUCCUACGGGAGGCAGCAGUAGGGAAUCGUGGGCAAUGGACGAAAGUCUGACCGAGCAACGCGGCGUGAGUGAAGAAGGAUGUCGGAUCGUAAAGCACGGUUGUAAGAGAAGAACGAGUGUGAGAGUGGAAAGUUCACACUGUGACGGUAUCUGACCAGAAAGGGACGGCUAACUACGUG